UCCAUUUCGUGGGGCGAAGGCUGAGAACUUAAAGCGCCAGUAAACGGACGGUGGUAACGUAUAACCAUCCUAAGUAGCGAAAUCCUUGUCGGGUAAGUUCCGACCUGCACGAAUGGCGUAACGACUUCUCGACUGUCUCAACCAUAGGCCCGGUGAAAUUGCACUACGAGUAAAGAUGCUCGUUUCGCGCAGCAGGACGGAAAGACCCCGGGACCUUUACUACAGUUUGAUAUUGGUGUUCGGUUCGGCUUGUGUA
rnacentral:ncRNA from 1 species